UACAGAGGGAGCAAGCGUUGUUCGGAAUUACUGGGCGUAAAGGGCGCGUAGGCGGUUCGAUAAGUCCCGUGUGAAAUCCCUCGGCUCAACUGAGGAAUUGCACGGGAAACUGACGGGCUUGAGUUCGGGAGAGGGAAGCGGAAUUCCGGGUGUAGCGGUGAAAUGCGUAGAUAUCCGGAGGAACACCGGUGGCGAAGGCGGCUUCCUGGACGGACACUGACGCUGAGACGCGAAAGCGUGGGGAGCAAACAGG
rnacentral:rRNA from 1 species